rnacentral:rRNA from 1 species
CCGACCAAAUAAAAUCCAUAAAAAAAUGGAGCCACAAGCAGAGUGGAAAUCCGCUAAGCCAGAAGAAACCCGUACUUGCCGUAACUGCGGUCAAGUUGGACAUAUUGCAAAAGCAUGUACCCAACCUAAGAAACCUGAUACCCGUGAAUGUCGCAUCUGUGGUGUUGUGGGCCACAUCCAACGUGACU